rnacentral:rRNA from 1 species
CAGCCGCCGCGGUAAUACAGAGGGUGCGAGCGUUAAUCGGAUUUACUGGGCGUAAAGCGUGCGUAGGCGGCUUCUUAAGUCGGAUGUGAAAUCCCUGAGCUUAACUUAGGAAUUGCAUUCGAUACUGGGAAGCUAGAGUAUGGGAGAGGAUGGUAGAAUUCCAGGUGUAGCGGUGAAAUGCGUAGAGAUCUGGAGGAAUACCGAUGGCGAAGGCAGCCAUCUGGCCUAAUACUGACGCUGAGGUACGAAAGCAUGGGGAGCAAACAGGAUUAGAUACCCCGGUAGUCCCUGUCUCUUAUAC